CAGUAGCCGCGGUAAUACGUAGGGUGCAAGCGUUAUCCGGAAUUAUUGGGCGUAAAGAGCUCGUAGGCGGUUUGUCGCGUCUUCUGUGAAAACUGGAGGCUCAACCUCCAGCCUGCAGUGGGUACGGGCAAACUAGAGUGCGGUAGGGGAGAUUGGAAUUCCUGGUGUAGCGGUGGAAUGCGCAGAUAUCAGGAGGAACACCGAUGGCGAAGGCAGAUCUCUGGGCCGUAACUGACGCUGAGGAGCGAAAGCAUGGGGAGCGAACAGGAUUAGAUACCCCGGUAGUCCCUGUCUCUUAUAC
rnacentral:rRNA from 1 species